ensembl:lncRNA
UUCCUCUUCUUUUAUCUGUCAUCCUGCUGACUUCAGGCACUGCAGCGAUGUCUCCUCGCUUUCUGUAUUACUGUUAGACUGACGCCCUCUGCUGUUCCGAGAGAAUAAGAUUACAGUAAUUGCUGCUUUGGUAGCUCGACAUGGACCUCAUUUUAAUGUCAUGCAGAAAGUCAAAGACAUCCUUUCUACAGCAGCAGAAGUGCAUCACGCGGUACCAUUUUUCACAUUUCCUCUAAUUCUACUGGAAAGUCACCAGUGUGCACACAUGACAGUUACAUGAGUAUCUUGAACUGGAUAUGGUUUGAAUCCAAAAGAAGGCUAAAGUUCUUCAGUGAUAGGCAACAGAAAUGACCCCUAAUGCAAAGUCACCUCCUGAAAAAGCCAACGCUGCACAUACCAUUCAGGAGGUGAUGGAUGUGGAGGGAGUACAUCUAGAAGAAGGAACAGCGGAGACAUCCCAGGGUGAGGACUCUGAGCUGAGCUUGAGUUUUCAGGGCUAUGUCGCCGAGCUGCGGCAGUGCCAGAGCAAAAUGAGAAACGCCCAGAUGCCCCAGAACGGCCGCAACCCACCGGAGGGCCAGGACUGCAACACAGAUCUUUACAAGGCCACCAUCGUCUAAAGGGACCCCCCCUCCGCAACACCCCCACUGCUGCACUUUUAAAGCCUGAGCGACUGUUGUUUGAGGAGAUGUAGUCGAACAAUGUGCUGCAUGUACAAGUUGUCAGUUUUCUUUACUAAAGCAUCAAUGUUACGGUGAUGGAUAUUGUAUAUUUGUUUAAAAAAAGUUCAGGCAUCUUCUUGUUGACUUCUAGUACCGGUUGUAAUUUUGGGACAGUGAUAUGUUUUGUUAUUGGUAUGCUUUGAUAAUUAAAUACAUUGAGCCCAAAUAAUAAUACCACAGAAGAAGCCUGAAACUCACUUUGGGGUACCAGUUGCUAAUAGUUGUACACAAUUUAUGUGAAAUGACUGAGAAAUAGGACACUGCUUGAUAAGAAGCUGCUUAACAACUUCCUAACAAAAAAACACUGGCAGCCUUCUGGUGUUGGAAACCAAAAAGUGAAAGCUCAGGAAAACACUUGUUCAGGUUCUUGAUAACAAUUUCGAAACCAUCACCAAAUGAUUUAAUGAGCUGUUAAGCUGUUUGGGUAUAUUGAGUUUUACAUUAAAGUCCCGAUUAACUGUCUACCCAUUACCUUUUUCUGCUAGUCUUGCGCUAAGAAAAGUUGUGAGAUGCAACUGAAAUAGCAAUGAUAAUUUAAAAAUCUAGAAAGUAAAGCUUGACUUUUGUUUUACGUGUCCUGAUUAGAAAGUAGGACCACAUGCUAGGAGAGGACUCUUGGAUAUUUGACUAUUUCUUGUUCAUAUUGUCUUCCUGUGUUGUACAGAUGACACAUAACAGUACCUCUAUUGUCUGUACUUUCUGCUUCUGUGGUUGUGAGGUUGUCCAAAUUGUUGAACAAUUAAAAGGCUUCGAUGGCUCUACUUUCAACCAACUGUGUCUUCGCUUUUUUGCUUUCAUC